rnacentral:lncRNA from 1 species
ACGAAACAAAUAGUAAUCCAGAGAAGAGUAGAGAAGCAUCUGAGAAUGCCACUUGUCCCAGCAAUUUGAGUGAUCUUCGGAUCUACAAUCUCUCUCCCUCAGCAGAAACUGGCAUAGGCGAGCAUGUGACACUGAAGUGCUGUUCAAAGGCUGUCUGUCUGCCAAUUACCUACAAUUUAUUCCUGCAAAAUAGAAGUCAAAAGGUCCAUGAUUCAUUGAAAAAUGGGACAAAAGAAUGUCUUGUGAUUAAUGUCACCAUCAGAUCUGUCAAUGAUCUGGGUGAAUAUAAAUGCAAAGCAAAAGACAGAUUUAACAACGUCAAAUAUAGCAACGGUUUCACCUUUGCAUUGAGAGCAGGCAAGACCUCCUCUUUGUUGUUCUAUAUUGUGCUUCCGUUGUUGUUGCUGCUCGUAGCAGCAGGAGCUGUA